GAUGAACGCUGGCGGCGUGCUUAACACAUGCAAGUCGAACGAAGUCUUCGGACUUAGUGGCGGACGGGUGAGUAACGCGUGAGAAUCUGCCUUCAGGACGGGGACAACAACUGGAAACGGUUGCUAAUACCCGAUAUGCCGAGAGGUGAAAUGUUUUUUCGCCUGAAGAUGAGCUCGCGUCCGAUUAGCUAGUAGGAAGUGUAAAGGACUCCCUAGGCGACGAUCGGUAGCUGGUCUGAGAGGAUGAGCAGCCACACUGGGACUGAGACACGGCCCAG
rnacentral:rRNA from 1 species